UACAGAGGGUGCGAGCGUUGUUCGGAAUUAUUGGGGGUAAAGGGCGCGUAGGCGGUGCGGUAAGUCACCUGUGAAAUCUCCUGGCUCAACUGGGAGCUUGCAGGCGAAACUGCCGUGCUGGAGUGUGGGAGAGGUGAGUGGAAUUCCCGGUGUAGCGGUGAAAUGCGUAGAUAUCGGGGAGGAACACCUGUGGCGAAAGCGGCUCACUGGACCACAACUGACGCUGAGGCGCGAAAGCUAGGGGAGCAAACAGG
rnacentral:rRNA from 1 species